GAAUAUGAAGCAAUCUGUGCAAUUAGUUUCGACCUAAUUUAUUGGUAUUGAAUUACCCUUAUUUU
rnacentral:tRNA from 1 species